rnacentral:rRNA from 1 species
UACAGAGGGGGCAAGCGUUGUUCGGAAUUACUGGGCGUAAAGGGCUCGUAGGCGGCCAACUAAGUCGGACGUGAAAUCCCUCGGCUUAACCGGGGAACUGCGUCCGAUACUGGAUGGCUUGAGUGUGGGAGAGGGAUGCGGAAUUCCAGGUGUAGCGGUGAAAUGCGUAGAUAUCUGGAGGAACACCGGUGGCGAAGGCGGCAUCCUGGACUACUACUGACGCUGAGGAGCGAAAGCCAGGGGAGCAAACGGG